GAAAAUUGGCACAUGAAAUGACAAGCUAAAGGGAGGUUUGGGCUUUAAACAGUAUUUAGGACCGAACUGUGAAAACCGAGGGCCUAUUUGUAAUUUCUCUAAAAAGUGGAAGGGCUUAUUUGCGGAAAUUCCUGGAGAGAGGUGGAGGGACCGGGUUGUAAAUAAAGGAAACUAGAGGGGCAGAUCGGAAAUCGAGUUUUUCUUCUUCUUCUUUCCUCUGCUUCAGAACAGAGGUGGGGGAAAACACGGCCGGCGGCGGGCCGGCCAGCCGGUGUGGCCCACCGGCGGUGGGGCCGAGCGACGGGGAAGAUAGUGGAGGGUGAGAGGAGUCCAUUUGACUCCUCACCUUGGGUGAUUUGUGGCCGGACCCAGGGGGCCGACGGCGGCAAGGAAGUGGCGGCGGAGGUCUUGGUUGCGGCGGCGGUUGGCACUGGGGAAAGCGGAGGGAGGAAGGCCGGCGAGCUUGGAGAUGAUGUUGGAGGUGUGGGGGAGGCGACCGAGCUCGGCCCCUCUUAUAUAGGCGGCGGGGAGGGCGGCGCCCGAGGCGGCGGGGCCGGUGAUUUGACGGCGGCCGAACCUGUCCGGCGGGUGGCGUGCCGGAGUGGUCGUGCGUGUGGUAGGCGUGGC
rnacentral:lncRNA from 1 species